GAAGAUACUGACUUCAGGUUUUUAGGUUUUGUUGUGUAUUUUUGUUGUUGUUAUUAAGGAGGGAAGAUUGCUUCACAGGAAAACAUUGCAGGGUUUUACCUCUGUUGUUUGAAGCCUGCGCUCUGCAAAGUGAUCUAUGAUGAUAUAGGAACAAGCAGUUUAUUUCUGUUAGCCAGUAAUCACUUAACAUGAACACAGCAAUAAAUGCCUCUGCUUUUUACAGUGAGGAGAUAAACUGAGAGCAGGACAAGCUGUGAGGAGGCGAGGGGAGGGGAUGCCGGGCAGCUGCAGACAAUCUCACGGAGCAGGAAGUAUCAAGUAGUGUGCGUGAGGAGCCGGAGACAACGAAAUCAGAUUAAAGUGGGAAAAGGCUCUCAAAGUGAAGAGUGUCAGAGGCUGAGGAGUCAAUUGAAGAAGCAGGUUGUGAUGGGGGUACAGGCAGUCAGACCGAUCAGCACUGGUCCUGAUAGCCUGGUCUGAAUGAAGGAAGAUAUUUGGAAUAACUUGCAUUUUAGAGGAAUUUCUUGAUUUCUCCUACCAGUGCUCCAGUGCAGUGCAGAGGACAGACAUGACACUGGUCCUGCACAGGCAGCAUACAGUACAGGUCCGGGGCCAAGGGACUGUGGGGACACAAUCAGCCUCAUAAAUACCAAACAGUGGUCUUUAGAAAGCUUUUUGUAGCCAUCAUAGAAGAAGAGAUUUUUAGAGAAACUGGCAAAUGUCUACAGGAAGUUCCUAUCGAGCAUGAGAGGAGAGAGCUGUGCAGAUUAAGAGUGGGGGCUGGAGGCUGCCAAAGGACCCUCAGUGACAGGGUUCAAGCAGGUCAUGAACGUGGUCACCAAAGCAACUCCAUCUCAAGUUGCAUGCAAAUCCCACAGUCACUAAUGCUAACAUGUGCAGAAGGCAACGGUGCCAACCAUAAGUGUAUCUCAGAUUUCAAAGUGAUUGCAAGACCUGCAGAUGUGGGAAAAGAUGCUUUCUCACAGAGGAACCCCAGCUUUAAGGACAAUCAAUUGCUCAAUCUGCUGUGUAUGCCUGGAGGGAAAACAGGACUUUGUGGAGACAAAGGUACAAGCCAAAGGAUGGCAGGGUCAGCUCGGCCUCCAGAGGUGGUAAAGGAGACGUGGCUGAGGAGAGGAUGCCUUUGGGAUAGGUGGUGUGUGGGAUGAAAGGGCUGAAGCAUCCCUGGGCUUUGAUGCUGUGGGCUCUGCUGGUUUCCCCCAUCUCCAAGCACGGAAGCAGAUGCCCACAGCCCUGAGCUGCUUCUUACCACAGGAACACUAAAGGGCUCUCUAGAAAAAAGCCUGGAAAUCAGGCGAUUGCACUCCCCCAUCUGUGUUAGGGAGGAACACCCAGAUGAGACACUCCUUCGAGUAUGGAUUUCGUGGAGAACUUUCUUUCUGUCUCUGCCACAGUACAGCAACUUGGCAGGCUGGCAGGACAGGCACAGGCCUGAGUGGGUGACAACACUGAAAGCACAGCAGCAACUCAGAAAGCACUGCAGAAGGGUCUGCAGCCCCUUGGGGUGCUGGCUGUGUGGUUCUACAGAGCUUGGCCUUGUUAACAUCCACAGCACAUCUCCACUGAGGCCUGUAUCUCUGACAGUGAGCCAUGUGGCUUUCUGUAAACCAAGAUUUUUUGUUAAAUAAGUUGCUGUUUUCCGUAGGUUGCAAGUGUAAACUGGAAGAGAUUCAUUAUGUAA